GACGAACGCUGGCGGCGUGCUUAACACAUGCAAGUCGAACGAAGUGGCGAACGGGUGAGUAACGCGUAAUUACCCUGCCCUUCAGAGGGGCACAACAGUUGGAAACGACUGCUAAUCCCGCAUACUGAAGGGGGGGAUUGCGUCUGCUUAGCUAGUUGGAGGGGUAACGGCCCACAAAGCCGAUGAUCAGUAGCCGGUCUGAGAGGAUGAACGGCCACAUUGGGACUGGGACACGGCCCAGACUCCUACGGGAGGCAGCAGUGGUGAAUCUUCCGAAAUGGAGGAAAGUCUGACGGAGCAACGCCGCGUGAGUGAUGACGGCGUUCGGGUUGUAAAGCUCUGUUAAUCGUGACGCAGUACCGGAAUAGAAAGCCACGGCUAACUACGGGCCAGCAGCCGCGGUAAUAC
rnacentral:rRNA from 1 species